rnacentral:rRNA from 1 species
UACAGAGGAGCCAAGCGUUGUCCGGAUUGACUGGGCGUAAAGCGCACGCAGGCGGUCGCGCGCGUGGGGUGUGAAAUCUGGCCGCUUAACGGCCAGGCGCCAUCCCAUACGGCGCGACUGGAGUGAUGCAGAGGUCGGUGGAAUUGCCGGUGUAGUGGUGAAAUGCGUAGAGAUCGGGAGGAACACCAGUGGCGAAGGCGGCCCCCUGGGCCGUACCUGACGCUGAGACGCGAAAGCGCGGGGAGCGAACGGG